rnacentral:tRNA from 1 species
AUCUAAAUAGCUUAUGAAGAGCAUGAUAUUGAAGAUAUCAAGGAAAUAUAUAUUAUUUUUAGAUA